rnacentral:piRNA from 1 species
UUCUAUGUCGACAUUGUCAGC